rnacentral:rRNA from 1 species
GCGUAGAUAUUAGGAGGAACACCAGUGGCGAAGGCGGCUUUCUGGACUGUAACUGACACUGAGGCACGAAAGCGUGGGGAGCAAACAGGAUUAGAUACCCUGGUAGUACACGCCGUAAACGAUGAGCACUAGGUGUCGGGGUCGCAAGACUUCGGUGCCGUAGUUAACGCAUUAAGUGCUCCGCCUGGGGAGUACGCACGCAAGUGUGAAACUCAAAGGAAUUGACGGGGACCCGCACAAGCAGCGGAGCAUGUGGUUUAAUUCGAAGCAACGCGAAGAACCUUACCAGGACUUGACAUCCCUCUGACAGUCCCUUAACCGGGAUCUUCCUUCGGGACAGAGGAGACAGGUGGUGCAUGGUUGUCGUCAGCUCGUGUCGUGAGAUGUUGGGUUAAGUCCCGCAACGAGCGCAACCCUUGUCAAUAGUUACCAGCAGUAAGAUGGGGACUCUAUUGAGACUGCCGUGGAUAACACGGAGGAAGGUGGGGAUGACGUCAAAUCAUCAUGCCCCUUAUGUUCUGGGCUACACACGUGCUACAAUGGCUGGUACAGAGAGACGCAAGACCGUGAGGUGGAGCAAAUCUCCAAAACCAGUCCCAGUUCGGAUUGUAGGCUGCAACUCGCCUACAUGAAGUUGGAGUUGCUAGUAAUCGCAGAUCAGAAUGCUGCGGUGAAUGCGUUCCCGGGUCUUGUACACACCGCCCGUCACACCAUGGAAGUUGGGGGUGCCCGAAGUCGGUCAGUAAAUAGGCUGCCUAAGGCAAAACCAAUGACUGGGGUGAAGUCGUAACA